UACAGAGGUCUCAAGCGUUGUUCGGAUUCAUUGGGCGUAAAGGGCGCGUAGGCGGCGGGGUCAGUCGGGUGUGAAAUCUUGGGGCUUAACCCCGAAACGGCACUCGAAACUGCCCGGCUGGAGGGCCGGAGAGGAGAUCGGAAUUCACGGUGUAGCAGUGAAAUGCGUAGAGAUGUGGAGGAACACCAGUGGCGAAGGCGACUCUUUGGUCUGUAACUGACGCUGAGGCGCGAAGGCGUGGGGAGCAAACAGG
rnacentral:rRNA from 1 species